ACCACGGUGGUCCAGCGGUUAGAACGCUGGCCUUGUAAUCCUGGGGUCUCGGGUUCGAUUCCCGGCGGUGCCA
rnacentral:tRNA from 1 species